UGUAGCUGAUCUUCUAGGAGAUAUGUGCUCGCUCGUCAUCUUUUAUCUUUCCACCUGUGCACUUUUUGUAGACAUGGAUGUAACAUUUUCGAGGAAACUCGGUAUGGAGAAAUGCUUAUAUUUGCUUUUCUUGUGCAUUCCUGUUCUAUGUUUUCAUAUACUCCAAAAAUGUAACAGAAUGUAACUUUUGGGCCUUGUGCCUAUAAAACUAUAUACAACUUUCAGCAACGGAUCUCUUGGCUCUCGCAUCGAUGAAGAACGCAGCGAAAUGCGAUAAGUAAUGUGAAUUGCAGAAUUCAGUGAAUCAUCGAAUCUUUGAACGCACCUUGCGCUCCUUGGUAUUCCGAGGAGCAUGCCUGUUUGAGUGUCAUUAAAUUCUCAAUCUUUUAAUUUGCUUUUGCGAGCUUUAAUUAAAUGAUUGGAUGUGAGGGUUUUAUGCUGGCUUCGAAGGAAGUCUGGCUCCCUUCAAAUGUAUUAGCUGGUACCCCUGUGGAUCAGUCUAUUUGGUGUGAUAAUAUCUACGCCGUUAGACAUCUGCUUUAAAUGGGUUGUGCUGCUUCUAACAGUCCAUUUCUUUGGACAAUUUAUGACUAUUUGACCUCAAAUCAGGUAGGACUACCCGCUG
rnacentral:rRNA from 1 species